rnacentral:rRNA from 1 species
GACGAACGCUGGCGGCGUGCUUAACACAUGCAAGUCGAACGAUGAAACCCAGCUUGCUGGGUGGAUUAGUGGCGAACGGGUGAGUAACACGUGGGUGAUCUGCCCUGCACUCUGGGAUAAGCCUGGGAAACUGGGUCUAAUACCGGAUAUGACCUCGGGAUGCAUGUCCUGGGGUGGAAAGUUUUUCGGUGCAGGAUGAGCCCGCGGCCUAUCAGCUUGUUGGUGGGGUAAUGGCCUACCAAGGCGACGACGGGUAGCCGGCCUGAGAGGGCGACCGGCCACACUGGGACUGAGACACGGCCCAGACUCCUACGGGAGGCAGCAGUGGGGAAUAUUGCACAAUGGGCGAAAGCCUGAUGCAGCGACGCCGCGUGAGGGAUGACGGCCUUCGGGUUGUAAACCUCUUUCAGCAGGGACGAAGCGAAAGUGACGGUACCUGCAGAAGAAGCACCGGCCAACUACGUGCCAGCAGCCGCGGUAAUACGUAGGGUGCGAGCGUUGUCCGGAAUUACUGGGCGUAAAGAGCUCGUAGGCGGUUUGUCGCGUCGUCUGUGAAAUCCCGCAGCUCAACUGCGGGCUUGCAGGCGAUACGGGCAGACUCGAGUACUGCAGGGGAGACUGGAAUUCCUGGUGUAGCGGUGAAAUGCGCAGAUAUCAGGAGGAACACCGGUGGCGAAGGCGGGUCUCUGGGCAGUAACUGACGCUGAGGAGCGAAAGCGUGGGUAGCGAACAGGAUUAGAUACCCUGGUAGUCCACGCCGUAAACGGUGGGCGCUAGGUGUGGGUUUCCUUCCACGGGAUCCGUGCCGUAGCCAACGCAUUAAGCGCCCCGCCUGGGGAGUACGGCCGCAAGGCUAA